rnacentral:lncRNA from 1 species
AUAACGCAGAGGUGGGAGACAGAGUGGGUGGGGAGGGGAGCCGCCAUACAGUGGCCAAGACCAGCUUUGCCCAAGUGGUGGCAACCGCAUGACCACAGGAACGAUGGCGUGAGCCCCAUGGCAACCUGGAGGAAGGGAAAUAAUCCAGGAUCCAUUUUGUGUGGUCAUCUUGUCUCCCUGGUCCCCUCCAGCCUUUCCUCAUCUUUUGUGACCUGGUCACUCUGGAAGGGCGCUGGCCUGUUAGUCCACAGGAUGGGCCUCCCCUGGGGCUUUUCUGAUGCUUCCUUAUGAUGGCACUGGCAUCCUGAGGGGGAGGACCACAGAGAGGAGGUGCCCCUCAUCACACCACAUGGGGGUCUAUGCACCAGCACCACUGCUUUCCAGGGCCCUUCACCUCCAUCACAGGUGGAGGCGGCGUCUGCCAGGAAGCAGAAAGUCGAGGCUUAGAAGGUGCAUGGCCCUACCUCUUCUGAGGUGCCCCUGCGGGCUGUCUACAGACCAGGCAGCACACGCCUGAUAGCAGCUGCAUAAGGAAAAGCAGGAGCCAGCUCGUGCACAGUGGACUCAAGUG